UGGGGAAUCUUGCGCAAUGCGCGAAAGCGUGACGCAGCAACGCCGCGUGGGGGAAGAAGGCCUUCGGGUUGUAAACCCCUUUCAGGAGGGACGAAGGUGCGGCGGCGAAUAGCUCGCCGUACUGACGGUACCUCCAGAAGAAGCCCCGGCUAACUACGUGCCAGCAGCCGCGGUAAUACGUAGGGGGCAAGCGUUGUCCGGAAUCAUUGGGCGUAAAGCGCGCGUAGGCUGCCCGGUCAGUCCGCUGUGAAAGUCAGGGGCUCAACCCUUGAAUGUCAGUGGAUACUGCCGGGCUAGAGUCCGGAAGAGGCGAGUGGAAUUCCUGGUGUAGCGGUGGAAUGCGCAGAUAUCAGGAGGAACACCAAUAGCGAAGGCAGCUCGCUGGGACGGUACUGACGCUGAGGCGCGAAAGCGUGGGGAGCGAACAGGAUUAGAUACCCUGGUAGUCCACGCCGUAAACGAUGGGCACUAGGUGUGGGAGGUGUCGACUCCUCCCGU
rnacentral:rRNA from 1 species